CCUACGGGUGGCUGCAGUGGGGAAUAUUGGACAAUGGGCGAAAGCCUGAUCCAGCCAUGCCGCGUGUGUGAAGAAGGCCUUCGGGUUGUAAAGCACUUUCAGUGGGGAAGAAAGCCUUGGGGCUAAUACCCUCGAGGAAGGACAUCACCCACAGAAGAAGCACCGGCUAACUCCGUGCCAGCAGCCGCGGUAAUACGGAGGGUGCGAGCGUUAAUCGGAAUUACUGGGCAUAAAGCGCGCGUAGGCGGUCUGAUAAGCCGGUUGUGAAAGCCCCGGGCUCAACCUGGGAACGGCAUCCGGAACUGUCAGGCUAGAGUGCAGGAGAGGAAGGUAGAAUUCCCGGUGUAGCGGUGAAAUGCGUAGAGAUCGGGAGGAAUACCAGUGGCGAAGGCGGCCUUCUGGACUGACACUGACGCUGAGGUGCGAAAGCGUGGGUAGCAAACAGGAUUAGAUACCCUGGUAGU
rnacentral:rRNA from 1 species